rnacentral:rRNA from 1 species
AACGAACGCUGGCGGCAUGCCUAACACAUGCAAGUCGAACGAGACCUUCGGGCCUAGUGGCGCACGGGUGCGUAACGCGUGGGAACCUGCCCUUAGGUUCGGAAUAACUCCCCGAAAGGGGUGCUAAUACCGGAUAAUGUCUUCGGACCAAAGAUUUAUCGCCUUUGGAUGGGCCCGCGUUGGAUUAGCUAGUUGGUAGGGUAAAAGCCUACCAAGGCGACGAUCCAUAGCUGGUCUGAGAGGAUGAUCAGCCACACUGGGACUGAGACACGGCCCAGACUCCUACGGGAGGCAGCAGUGGGGAAUAUUGGACAAUGGGCGAAGGCCUGAUCCAGCAAUGCCGCGUGAGUGAUGAAGGCCUUAGGGUUGUAAAGCUCUUUUACCCGGGAUGAUAAUGACAGUACCGGGAGAAUAAGCACCGGCUAACUCCGUG